AAUAGCUUCAAUUCCGUAGUGCAUUGCAGUGUGCUUUAGACGAACUGCAAGCAAUGUGGAAGUGAAGCGAUUCU
rfam:Aedes aegypti strain Liverpool supercont1.1064 genomic scaffold, whole genome shotgun sequence.